GAAUUCAUGAAGCAUUCCAUAUUUUUAUAAAUCUUUUGCCUUUUACUAAAGAUUUCCAUGGAGAGGAACAACUCUGAGUUUUAAACUAAUUUUUUGAGGCCUUGCUUUCUAGCAGGGCU
rnacentral:snRNA from 1 species